GAUGAACGCUGGCGGCGUGCCUAAUACAUGCAAGUCGAGCGAACAGACGAGGAGCUUGCUCCUCUGACGUUAGCGGCGGACGGGUGAGUAACACGUGGAUAACCUACCUAUAAGACUGGGAUAACUUCGGGAAACCGGAGCUAAUACCGGAUAACAUGUUGAACCGCAUGGUUCAACAGUGAAAGACGGUCUUGCUGUCACUUAUAGAUGGAUCCGCACCGCAUUAGCUAGUUGGUAAGGUAACGGCUUACCAAGGCAACGAUGCGUAGCCGACCUGAGAGGGUGAUCGGCCACACUGGAACUGAGACACGGUCCAGACUCCUACGGGAGGCAGCAGUAGGGAAUCUUCCGCAAUGGGCGAAAUCCUGACGGAGCAACGCCGCGUGAGUGAAGAAGGUCUUCGGAUCGUAAAACUCUGUUAUUAGGGAAGAACAAAUGUGUAAGUAACUAUGCACGUCUUGACGGUACCUAAUCAGAAAGCCACGGCUAACUACGUG
rnacentral:rRNA from 1 species